UACAAUGUGUUCACAUUCAGGUGCUCCAUGUGAGCCUUUUCUUUCCUUUCCAAAUGAUGCAAGAGAUAUAUUUCACCUGGGCAUGUUCACAUUCAGCAUGCCUUUCUGUUUUCCCCCUUAAAUACUCUCCUCCAUUGAUAUCUCUUAAUUUAUUUUUCACGGUUUCUAUUCUGCAACCUGAAUACAAUCCUAAUGGAAAUUCAAGCAGCACCUGAUCUGGGUGCUUUCACUCUUAUAGCAAGGAGGUAGAAGAUUAAAGUAAAAGUAAAUUUUACACUUCUGGGUAUGUGGAUGUCUACCAAGCACACAAGCAAGCUAUUGUUAUAAUGAAUUUAUAGCACAAGCUUCGACUGGAAAUUGCCUCUAAGAUUGGAUGGAAAUCAUCCAGUGUUCAUGUCAUAACUCAUAAGAGAUGAAGAUCACAAGGUCAAUCUUUGGGCUAUUGGUAAACCUAAUGCUAUGCUGGGAGCAAGUGAAUUGGCUCGAUGUAGCAACAAGUGCCCCUAGCCUAUGAUGUGCAGUUAUCAAUUAAUACCAUUGAGGCGUCCAUAGAUCAGGGAGAUCUAACUAUGAGGUAUUUGAAGAUGAACCAGUUGUCACUACGGGAGUGAGAAAGAUGAUGAUACUUUACUUACUAGGUUUAAUCAGUUUGUUAAUUUUAUUUACAUUUAUGAGGAAUGUUUCGGUAGAUAAUUCUGGACAUAAUCUAACCUUAUGGAAUCUUCAGGCAGAUAGAAUUUUAUAAUACACUUAUUUAUUGCCUUUCAAUUUUCAAAAAGUUGUUUUCAUGAAUAUUAUUGUUGUAAUGCUUCCAACUAGAAAAGUAAACUGUUGGAAAUUUCAUGUGAAGUGCAGAAACGAUCAAAAUUUUGAGUUUUGCAACACUGGACUGUCCAUCCUGGUUUCUGGACCAAAUGGGAUGUUAGAACAAGUACUGAAAUGUUGAAAAUUAGGCUGUUAUCGCGUCUGGUUUAUAUGUAAGUGUCGAUAUUGAAGGUUUUGUGUGGAUGUAGGUGUUGCUAACAACAACGUCUACAGGGCUGGAUUUCUGUUUGAGAGGCAGUCAACUCUUCUUUUAUCUUUCCGCAAGAAAUCAAUUUUCUCCCUUUUAUUAUUUCUUUUGUUCUUUCUUUGAUAUUUUCUUACUGUUCUGAUUAUUCUAUUGUGGAUUUGAUAUUUUCUUUAGUUUUUGUAGAUUGUGAAGUCCCUUUACAAUUUGAACUGGUAUGAUAUUCUUUUCAAUUGUUGGAUAUGUUCCUUUAAAUCUGUUCAUGUUACAUAAUGCAUUGGGGUUGAUGGAU